rnacentral:rRNA from 1 species
AAUAGAUACCCCGGUAGUCCACGCCGUAAACGAUGAAUGCUAGGUGUUAGGGGUUUCGAUACCCUUGGUGCCGGAAGUUAACACAUUAAGCAUUCCGCCUGGGGAGUACGGUCGCAAGACUGAAACUCAAAGGAAUUGACGGGGGACCCGCACAAGCAGUGGAGUAUGUGGUUUAAUUCGAAGCAACGCGAAGAACCUUACCAGGUCUUGACAUCCCUCUGACCGGUCUAGAGAUAGGCCUUUCCUUCGGGACAGAGGAGACAGGUGGUGCAUGGUUGUCGUCAGCUCGUGUCGUGAGAUGUUGGGUUAAGUCCCGCAACGAGCGCAACCCUUGAUCUUAGUUGCCAGCACUUUGGGUGGGCACUCUAGGAUGACUGCCGGUGACAAACCGGAGGAAGGUGGGGAUGACGUCAAAUCAUCAUGCCCCUUAUGACCUGGGCUACACACGUACUACAAUGGCCGAUACAACGGGAAGCGAAGUCGCGAGGCGGAGCCAAUCCUAUCAAAGUCGGUCUCAGUUCGGAUUGCAGG